rnacentral:lncRNA from 1 species
CCUUGGUUUAGUAAUAUCAAUUUUGUUUUUUUGCUUUUACAUUUUAUAUUAGUAAACCAACCCAGAAGUUACAACGAUAACCGUCCUGUAAACCAACGAAACAUCGGAACGACAAAAAGAACAAUAAGCAAGAGAAAUCAAGAGAUGCUAAGAAGCUCGAUAGGUCCAUCAGUGGUGUAUCGUCAGAGCGGCCACUUGAGAGAUGUCCUGCGGCUACUUUACACCAGUUCAAGAAAGAAGACUGACUCUCGAAACCCUAGCUGCACUUGUUGCUCUGCCGCGCGCGCGCAAGUCCGAGCCACUGCAUGCUAUUCUCUUUCAAACCGCCCAAGAAAGAGUCACAUCUGAGGGAACCACGCACCAUCUCUAAAGGUAGAUCCGUCGUUAACGAGCUCUCCCCCAACAAAUCGCGGAAAAAUCCCAUAGAUCUUCUUCUUGGAAGCAACAUGUAACAGAGCAACAACAUAAAGUUGAUAUAUGGUAACAACUUCUCAAGAAU